GGGCUAGUGGCGCAGAUGGUUAGCGCGUACGGCUGAUAACCGUAAGGUCGCCAGUUCAAAUCUGGUCUAGCCCACCA
rnacentral:tRNA from 1 species